rnacentral:lncRNA from 1 species
UACAGUAUUCAUUCAGGUUGCAAGAUUGACAUCCUUGGAAAGUAAGGCCCUCUGCAGAGUGGUCAUCUUGCCCUUUCCACCUAUCUGUGUGCCUCAAGCCUAUUUUGAAGAGACCACUUAUUGGGAAGUGAGACCAGGUGACCAGGCUGUGGGAAGCGACCACACAUCAAUCUCAUAG